AUGCAAAGGAAAGGAAAGAAAAAAGUGAAUAAGUUGAAACAUCAAUUUAAAGUCAAUAAAAUGUUUAAAUAAGUACACGAAAAGAAAUUUAAUAAUUUUCUUCAUAAGUUUCAAUUUAUGUUUUUCAUUAGAUGCGCCUUAAUUACUUUUAUAACAUCAUCUUAUUGCACUCAUUUUAGAACUUAAUAUCAUGAAUAACAUAUCCUUAUACCAUGUAUAAGUUUUGUGUUAUGGUCAAAAUGUAUAAGUUUUAACUAAUAAUUUUGUUAAGAUCGGGCUUUGAAAAAUAACCCCUUCAUAAACAAAACGGUACCGUUGUAUUUUCGAACGGAGGAAGCCAUUGUGGCUCGUUUUCUUUCGGCCAAGCUUUCAGCGCUAGCAAAUAAAAGUGAUUUAGAGGUGUGUAGCGACAUCAAAGGCAAAGAGUACUUGUAGAUUACGAGUUGAAGCCGACGGAGUUGAUUCCGGCAGGAAUCAUGAAAGCACCGGCUGAAUCGCUGCUGUCUCCCAUCUCCACAGUUCCGUCUUCGUCUCGGUCUUAGUGGUCAGCAAAAUACACGUUCCCCAGAAUUUCUUCAGCCGAAUCCUUGAACGUUUGCGGCAUUGUACGUCCGUCGCUGUCUGAGUGGAUCAGGCAAGAGCUCAAACUUCCUCUUAUAUUCGCCAUGAGAUGCCUAGAACACGAUUCCAAGAAGGCUCGUUCGAUCCCCAGAUGAUUAGUCGGGAUCCGGACUAUUUUUUUUCAAUGCUGAAGUGAUUUUAUCGAAUAAAUAAAUAUUACGCCAGACUCAAUGCUAAAUCUAUUUCCUUUAAUUCUUUUUUUAAUAAUGAAGAAAAAAAAUAAAUUAGAACCAAUAAUCAAAACAUACGACAGUAAAUUUUAUUCGAUAUGAUAAAUAAAUACUAUAUUGCGCGCAAACCCCAAAAUUUUAUUCCCACCUUUGGGUUUCCGCGCCGAAGACCCAGCGCCAGAUUCGGCGACAAAGAAAACUGACAGCAGUCGCCGGACAGUUGGCAAUCCUGAUAUUUGACGGCGGCCGCCAGGUAGUCAUGGGAGUGGAUUGUUGUCAUGCAAAUAGAUCUUUUCGCUGAAAAUGCAUGUGUAUUGAGUUAUUGUUGACAGAUUUUCUGCAGUGUUAGUGUGAAAUUCAGCGAUUUUCUGUAUCGCGUAAGCCUUCGCUGGAUGAAAACGUCAUGUUGUUCAGCGUAGCAAGGAAAA